rnacentral:rRNA from 1 species
UACGUAGGGUGCGAGCGUUGUCCGGAAUUAUUGGGCGUAAAGGGCUCGUAGGCGGUUAGUCGCGUCGGGAGUGAAAACUCAGGGCUCAACCCUGAGCGUGCUUCCGAUACGGGCUGACUAGAGGUAUGCAGGGGGAGAACGGAAUUCCUGGUGUAGCGGUGGAAUGCGCAGAUAUCAGGAGGAACACCGGUGGCGAAGGCGGUUCUCUGGGCAUUACCUGACGCUGAGGAGCGAAAGCAUGGGGAGCGAACAGG